rnacentral:telomerase_RNA from 1 species
GAAAUACUCAUAGAUGGGGUUUUACGAGUAGCAGAUGAGCAUUGAGGAGGUGUUCGUCUCGUUGUGACCUAACCUUUUAAUUGAUCGACUCAUUUGUGUGAGCCCGUCAAUAUAAUCCUACCCACUUUUUAAGCUGGUUUAUUCGCCCUUGUUCCAGUUAAAAAAAAAUCUGAAUUAUAAGAAAGGGUAUUCUCGUAAAACCCCCGUUUUCAUAAAUUUUAAAAAUUAAAUAUUAAACUGCGCACAUCCCCUCAGAAUAUUGAAACUUAAUUUAAGGUACUAUCGCGUCUGCCUUUAUUU